rnacentral:rRNA from 1 species
AUUGAACGCUGGCGGCAGGCCUAACACAUGCAAGUCGAACGAGUGGCGGACGGGUGAGUAAUGUCUGGGCAACUGCCUGAUGGAGGGGGAUAACUACUGGAAACGGUAGCUAAUACCGCAUACCAUCGGAUGUGCCCAGAUGGGAUUAGCUAGUAGGUGGGGUAAAGGGUCACCUAGGCGACGAUCCCUAGCUGGUCUGAGAGGAUGACGCGCCACACUGGGACGGAUACACUGGCCAGCCGCCUACGGUAGGCAGAAGUGGGGAAUAUUGCACAAUGGGCUGGAGCCUGAUGCAGCCAUGCCGCGUGUAUGAUGAAGGCCUUCGGGUUGUAAAGUACUUUCAGCGGGGAGGCGUUACCCGCAGAAGAAGCACCGGCUAACUCCGUGCCAGCAGCCGCGGUAAUAC